rnacentral:lncRNA from 1 species
UGGCGCUGGCACGGUGGUGGCGUCGCGGCUUCGAGCUGCUGGUGGUCACAGCGGCGUCAACGACGGAGCUGGUUGCAGGAGGAGCGCGGCGAGGCUCGGCUGGUCGCUCAGGCGAGGGGACUCGGAGCGGCGAUAGCCGGCAGCAGCGACGGCGCAGGGGUGCGGUGGCGCGGCGUCGUGUUGCAGGCGGAGGCGCCAGUGGCCGGCGGGGCAGCUGCACGAAGAAGAAGACCCUGUUCCUCUUCCUUUUUUUUUUUGAUUUAAUUUUUUUUUAAAUUUUCCACUCUCUCUCUGUCUCACGUCCCCUCACACUUCCCUCUCUGCUAUACUCUCCUGCCCCCUUUGCUGGCUUUUACUUCCCCCGAAAAAAAGAAAAGAGCCUUGUUUUUUUUUUUAUUACUUUUUUUACUCAAAAACCGAAGGAAAGCCCCCCUAUAUCUCUCCGUACGCGGCUCCUUUUAUAAGCCAAGAAUUUGAUCUUGUAGAAGAUUUUAUUUCCAAUUUUGCUUGUGCAAGUCCUGAACAUAUCGUGGAAAUAUAAGUACUCAUGCG